UGGGGAAUAUUGCACAAUGGGGGAAACCCUGAUGCAGCGACGCCGCGUGAAGGAAGAAGUAUUUCGGUAUGUAAACUUCUAUCAGCAGGGAAGAAAAUGACGGUACCUGACUAAGAAGCCCCGGCUAACUACGUGCCAGCAGCCGCGGUAAUACGUAGGGGGAAAGCGUUAUCCGGAUUUACUGGGUGGAAAGGGAGCGUAGGCGGCAUGGCAAGUCUGGUGUGAAAGGCAGGGGCUCAACCCCUGGACUGCAUUGGAAUCUGUCGGGCUGGAGUGCAGGAGAGGUAAGUGGAAUUCCUAGUAUAGCGGUGAAAUGCGUAGAUAUUAGGAGAAACACCAGUGGCGAAGGCGACUUACUGGACUGAAACAGACAUUGAGGCUCGAAAGCGUGGGGAGCAAACAGG
rnacentral:rRNA from 1 species